GACGAACGCUGGCGGCGUGCUUAACACAUGCAAGUCGAACGGAAAGGCCUUUUCGGAGGUACUCGAGUGGCGAACGGGUGAGUAACACGUGGGUGAUCUGCCCUGCACUCUGGGAUAAGCCUGGGAAACUGGGUCUAAUACCGGAUAGGACCGCACUUUAGUGUGUGUGGUGGAAAGUUUUUUCGGUGUAGGAUGAGCCCGCGGCCUAUCGGCUUGUUGGUGGGGUAAUGGCCUACCAAGGCGGCGACGGGUAGCCGGACUGGGAGGUUGGUCGGCCACAUUGGGACUGAGAUACGGCCCAGACUCCGACGGGAGGCAGCAGGGGGGAAUAUUGCACAAUGGGCGCAAGCCUGAUGCAGCGACGCCGCGUGGGGGAUGACGGCCUUCGGGUUGUAAACUCCUUUCGCCAGGGACGAAGCGUUUUGUGACGGUACCUGGAGAAGAAGCACCGGCUAACUACGUG
rnacentral:rRNA from 1 species